GGAGUUUGGACCGUCUCUCAGUUCCAAUGUGGCCGAUCACCCUCUCAGGUCGGCUACCCAUCGUCGGUUUUGGUGGGCCUUUACCCCGCCAACUAUCUAAUCGGACGCGAGCCCACCCUUCACCGGAUUGCUCCUUUGACCCCUGGAAGAUGUCUCCCUGUGGUCUUAUGCGGUAUUAGUACAACUUUCGCUGUGUUAUCCCCCUGUGAAGGACAGGUUGCUCACGCGUUACUCACCCGUCCGCCGCUAGAACAUACAUCUUCGUCUCCAUCCGAAAACUUUGACUCCGUCGCAUGUCCCCGCUCGACUUGCAUGUGUUAGGCACGCCGCCAGCGUUCGUCCUCGAGCCCAGGAUCAAACUACU
rnacentral:rRNA from 1 species